rnacentral:rRNA from 1 species
UAAUGUAUUGGGGGAGUCUGCCCGAUAGAGGGGGAUAACUACUGGAAACGGUGGCUAAUACCGCAUAAUGUCUACGGACCAAAGCAGGGGCUCUUCGGACCCUGCACUAUCGGAUGAACCCAUAUGGGAUUAGCUAGUAGGUGGGGUAAAGGCUCACCUAGGCGACGAUCUCUAGCUGGUCUGAGAGGAUGAUCAGCCACACUGGGACUGAGACACGGCCCAG